UACGAAGGGUGCAAGCGUUAAUCGGAAUUACUGGGCGUAAAGCGUGCGUAGGCGGUUAUUUAAGUCUGUUGUGAAAUCCCCGGGCUCAACCUGGGAAUGGCAAUGGAUACUGGAUAGCUAGAGUGUGAUAGAGGAUGGUGGAAUUCCCGGUGUAGUGGUGGAAUGCGUAGAUAUCGGGAGGAACACCAGUGGCGAAGGCGGUUGCCUGGAGCUUUGCUGACGCUGAGGCGCGAAAGCGUGGGGAGCGAUCCGG
rnacentral:rRNA from 1 species